AAGUAACUCAUAUCCGUAUCGUAUUAUGAGUCCUAUAUUUACUGUAUUUUUAUCCUGCCCUUAUUUCAAGCAAUUAAUGGUACUUUAACUUUUGAAAAUGUAGCACUGUGUAGGGCACUACAUUAUUCCUGUGUCAGUCCGCGUGUAUUUAUCCGCCGUGCAGGCCUGACGGACCGCCACGCUGCCACCGUGCUAUCACGUAACAGUUUGUGCAGACUGACCCGGGUCUCUUGGAGUUUUUUUCUACAAAUAUGAGUAUAAUGAAAAACAAAGAUAACUGUUUGACUUGUGCGUCAGACACAAACUUGUGUUAGACACAAAACAAUGUGGAGUGUGUGAGAUGCCAGUGGGUGUUCAGCGGAGUGUGUCGGGAAACGCGAAGCUGCUUCAUGCUGCCCGUCGAAAAGCGUGACACACUACUUUGUCAUAAAGGAUGAAAUUGAGCCUUGUGCUGUUACUAUCUCUGAAAGCUGGAAAGCAUGCAAGUGCUUAGACGAUGAAGACCAUCGGCGCCUCAUAGUGAACCACUCUGUUAACCUCGUGGAUCUCAGUGACCGGGUAACUCACACAGACACCAUCGAGAGGAUGUGGCGCGAGGUCAAGAGUACAGUGUCGCUUCGUGAAAGGCGAGAGCAUUUUGUGGGGUAUUUAGCAAGGUCCAUGUUCAGCAUGGCAUAUAAAGAUCCCAACAAGAGAUUCCACGUCUUCCUCUAAGAAGCUGCAUCACUCUACGACCCAUACCAGUCCACUUCUCUGGAUUUGUGUUAGUUUUGCCACGCAAAGCUAAAAAAAAAACCUCCGAGAAGCAAGAUAUCGCCUCCACUCUCGGCCUGUCUGUAUACCUGUUUGCUCAUUUCCCUGCCUGUCGGUCCCUGCCUCUCCAUCGGCCUGCCUGCCUGCCUGCCUGCCUGCUUACAGUUAACACGCACAUCAUCAUGUGUUGUCCGCGGCGUGCCCUUGACAAGACAAGGCUUCGCUCCGGGAUCUGAUUAGGCUCCAGUCUUUUAUCUCACCGUGGUGACAAAAUAAGAGACUUUGGACGUUGCAUCCCUGAGGUUUGAGUUCCCUGACUCCUGGGAUCGUGUGCUCGCCAUUCUACGUAUAUCUGUCAGGCUGCACUCCGAGGCAGGCAGCCAGUGAACCCUCCCCACCAAGGAAGUGCAGUUGUAAGGAGAGUCUGAGACAGAUACAGUGGGUAAGGGAGCACACACGCCAGGAACAAAGAAACACAGACUUACUCAACACACACUGACAAGCGAGACAACAUUCCGAGCACAGUGUUGUCACCUCAGGGGACUAUGGGACCCUCCAGCCGCACCCCCGAUUCAUCCUGCAGUCUGGGAAGCCUGGCGGGUCUGUGGGCUAGGAGGAGACGGAAUGAGCGCGUCUGAGCGGGUUAUGGGAUCCGCCUCAGUGACGUGACCUAAUAUUAGAGGCCUAACCUCAGCUCGCCUGACACCCGUAACUAAUUUCCUUCAUGCAAGAUUCCCCUAAGUCUAUAUUAAGCGUGAAUUAUUACUCCUGGUGCUGUGUUCCCUUUAAGCGACAUCAGCCGCCUACUGUCCUUGACCUCCCACCCACAUCUCUCUGCCUCUCCUUCACCUCACCUGCGGUCUUGUCUCCCUCUAGACGUAGCUACCCACUCACCUGUCAUGCUCAGUGUGAUCUGUCUACAAUGUAACCAUUCAUUACUCAAA